rnacentral:rRNA from 1 species
CGGUAGCUAAUACCGCAUAACGUCGCAAGACCAAAGUGGGGGACCUUCGGGCCUCAUGCCAUCAGAUGUGCCCAGAUGGGAUUAGCUAGUAGGUGGGGUAACGGCUCACCUAGGCGACGAUCCCUAGCUGGUCUGAGAGGAUGACCAGCCACACUGGAACUGAGACACGGUCCAGACUCCUACGGGAGGCAGCAGUGGGGAAUAUUGCACAAUGGGCGCAAGCCUGAUGCAGCCAUGCCGCGUGUGUGAAGAAGGCCUUCGGGUUGUAAAGCA